AUUGAACGCUGGCGGCAGGCCUAACACAUGCAAGUCGAUCGGAUGAAGGGAUCUUGCUCCUGGAUUCAGCGUCGGACGGGUGAGUAAUGUCUAGGAAUCUGCCUGGUAGUGGGGGAUAACGUCCGGAAACGGGCGCUAUUACCGCAUACGUCCUGAGGGAGAAAGUGGGGGAUCUUCUGACCUCACGCUCUCAGAUGAUCCUAGGUCGGAUUAGCUAGUUGGUGGGGUAAAGGCCUACCAAGGCGACGAUCCGUAACUGGUCUGAGAGGAUGAUCAGACACACUGGAACUGAGACACGGUCCAGACUCCUACGGGAGGCAGCAGUGGGGAAUAUUGGACAAUGGGCGAAAGCCUGAUCCAGCCAUGCCGCGUGUGUGAAGAAGGUCUUCGGAUUGUAAAGCACUUUAAGUUGGAAGGAAGGGCAGUAAGUUAAUACCUUGCUGUUUUGACGUUACCAACAGAAUAAGCACCGGCUAACUUCGU
rnacentral:rRNA from 1 species